rnacentral:rRNA from 1 species
AACGAACGCUGGCGGCAGGCUUAACACAUGCAAGUCGAACGCGUGUAGCAAUACACGAGUGGCGCACGGGUGAGUAACGCGUGGAUAUCUGCCUUUUGGUUCGGAAUAACCCCGGGAAACUGGGGCUAAUACCGGAUGGUUCCUUCGGGAUAAAGAUUUAUCGCCAAAAGAUGAGUCUGCGUCCGAUUAGCUAGUUGGUGAGGUAAGGGCUUACCAAGGCGACGAUCGGUAGCUGGUCUGAGAGGACGAUCAGCCACACUGGGACUGAGACACGGCCCAGACUCCUACGGGAGGCAGCAGUGGGGAAUCUUGGACAAUGGGGGAAACCCUGAUCCAGCGAUGCCGCGUGUGUGAAGAAGGCCUUCGGGUUGUAAAGCACUUUAAGUGGGGAAGAAAGGUAUCAAGUGAAUAACUUGGUGCUAUGACGGUACCCGCAGAAUAAGCACCGGCUAACUC